rnacentral:tRNA from 1 species
AUCUCUUGAGUAUGACGAGUAUAUCUGUCUUCCAAACAGAAGGAUUAAAUAAAUUUAAAAGAGAUA